rnacentral:lncRNA from 1 species
AUUGAAAUGAACUCCCACUUUUUUUUUUUCCUUUGCCAGGUAUUUAUUAUAGGUUCAAGUUUCGAAAGCAUCCUAAUGGAGAAGAGGAGGAUUUAUAACAUGGGUUGCCAAUAGAUCCAUAACUGUUAACUUUGCCUCUGAGGCAAAUAGAGAAGGAUUGUAUGGACACAAAACCACAAGUUCCCAAGGAAGCAAAUGGAGAGCAGUUAAUUAUUCUCAUCUCAUCAAUGAAGAAAAAGAGGAGGAUACACUGUUGGAAUGCAUCCACUCCAUCCAAUUGACUUCUCUUCCCUUUAUUAACUGAGGAAGGAUAAGGAGAAGAAAGAAGAAAAAAGAAGGGAUAUAAGAAGAGCACAACACAAUAAUGACAUUUGUAUGUUUUUUGUCUUUCCAAACAGACUGGUUUAUCAUCUAAAUGAUUCACAAUAUACUUAAUUUGAGUAACUCUAUCUCCUCUUUAUAACUGAAUUGGAC